GUGGGGAAUUUUGGACAAUGGGGGAAACCCUGAUCCAGCAAUGCCGCGUGUGUGAAGAAGGCCUUCGGGUUGUAAAGCACUUUUGGUGGGAACGAAACGGCUUGGGCUAAUACCUCGAGUCAAUGACGGUACCCGCAGAAUAAGCACCGGCUAACUACGUGCCAGCAGCCGCGGUAAUACGUAGGGUGCGAGCGUUAAUCGGAAUUACUGGGCGUAAAGCGUGCGCAGGCGGUUGUGCAAGACAGAUGUGAAAGCCCCGGGCUUAACCUGGGAAUUGCAUUUGUGACUGCACGGCUAGAGUGCGUCAGAGGGGGGUGGAACUCCACGUGUAGCAGUGAAAUGCGUAGAGAUGUGGAAGAACACCGAUGGCGAAGGCAGCCCCCUGGGAUGACACUGACGCUCAUGCACGAAAGCGUGGGGAGCAAACAGGAUUAGAUACCCGGGUAGUCC
rnacentral:rRNA from 1 species